rnacentral:rRNA from 1 species
UACGGAAGGGGCAAGCGUUGUUCGGAAUCAUUGGGCGUAAAGGGCGCGUAGGUGGUUCUGUAUGUCUACCGUGAAAGCGUACGGCUCAACCGUAUUUUGUCGGUAGAAACUGCAGGACUUGAGGCUGGGAGGGGCUGGUGGAAUUCCCUGUGUAGCGGUGAAAUGCGUAGAGAUGGGGGAGAACACUCGUGGCGAAGGCGGCCAGCUAGACCAGUUCUGACACUGAGGCGCGAAAGCGUGGGGAGCAAACAGG